rnacentral:rRNA from 2 species
UCUUCGGAGAGUUUGAUCCUGGCUCAGGACGAACGCUGGCGGCGUGCCUAAUACAUGCAAGUCGAGCGAAUCGACGGGAGCUUGCUCCCUGAGAUUAGCGGCGGACGGGUGAGUAACACGUGGGCAACCUGCCUAUAAGACUGGGAUAACUUCGGGAAACCGGAGCUAAUACCGGAUACGUUCUUUUCUCGCAUGAGAGAAG